ACGUCUGUCGGGCCUCCUGGCAUUCAGAGCCACUCAGGGCCCUGGCCCGAACCACCCUCCUGCAUGGCUGCUGUACGGAAAACGGGUUACUGACCUCUCCAAGGACUGUGGUAAAACCACAACAGAAGACGAACUGCUCACUGUGCGGGUCACACUCCUGUCUCUGAGGGGAUCUGGGACGUGGACGCACCGCCCGCACACGCUGAGAAGACAGCACUGGUCACUGACCUACGUUACCAAAAGCCUGUGUGUCUGGGCCCUGUGCCGCGGUGCGUGUGGGCCAGGUCACCCUGUGUGAAGCUGGACGACCCACCGGCCAACAGGCCGUGGCUGAGCCCACUGCCUAACGAUGACACAGGACGAGCUGAAUCAGGUGGCGACACCGGCCUGGACAGCGCCACAGAGGCCCAGAGGCCCCAACGGUCACUUCCCAGCCAUUCACCUGUCAGGAGACGUGCUAAUGUUUGUAGAAGAAAUCUGACACUUCCUUCCUUAAACACCAACAUGGCAAAAGUAUAUGUUACCCAAUUAUGUACACUUGAGGUCAUUUCUUUUCCCAGAUGAACUAAUUCAUAGAAAGUAAGGAAAUUACUGAGUAAGGAUUCAAAAGCCGUUGCGACUACAAGUAAUUCUCUAAACAGAAGCUAAAAUAAAAAUCUUGCACCACA